rnacentral:rRNA from 1 species
UUUACUCCUUACGGGAGGCAGCAGUGGGGAAUAUUGCACAAUGGGCGCAAGCCUGAUGCAGCGACGCCGCGUGAGGGAUGACGGCCUUCGGGUUGUAAACCUCUUUCAGUAGGGAAGAAGCGUAAGUGACGGUACCUGCAGAAGAAGCGCCGGCUAACUACGUGCCAGCAGCCGCGGUAAUACGUAGGGCGCAAGCGUUAUCCGGAAUUAUUGGGCGUAAAGAGCUCGUAGGCGGUUUGUCGCGUCUGCCGUGAAAGUCCGGGGCUCAACUCCGGAUCUGCGGUGGGUACGGGCAGACUAGAGUGAUGUAGGGGAGACUGGAAUUCCUGGUGUAGCGGUGAAAUGCGCAGAUAUCAGGAGGAACACCGAUGGCGAAGGCAGGUCUCUGGGCAUUAACUGACGCUGAGGAGCGAAAGCAUGGGGAGCGAACAGGAUUAGAUACCCUGGUAGUCCAUGCCGUAAACGUUGGGCACUAGGUGUGGGGGACAUUCCACGUUUUCCGCGCCGUAGCUAACGCAUUAAGUGCCCCGCCUGGGGAGUACGGCCGCAAGGCUAAAACUCAAAGGAAUUGACGGGGGCCCGCACAAGCGGCGGAGCAUGCGGAUUAAUUCGAUGCAACGCGAAGAACCUUACCAAGGCUUGACAUGAACCGGAAAGAUCUGAAACCAUGCCCCCCACAU